GCGCUAGUGUAGUAUAAUGGUUAAGGGACCGGUCUUGUGACCCGAAGGUCACGGGUUCGAUUCCCGGGUAGGACA
rnacentral:tRNA from 1 species